CUCACUUUGCAACUUACCUCUGUUUUAGAAAAACAGAUUUCUUUGGUCUCUCUUACAGAAGCAGUUCCUCUCUUCCUCUCAAAUCUCCAGCUAGAGCUCCGCUAGGGCAUACGACCUCCUCCUACCUCCAAGCUAACAAAAGCAGCUCGUAACUCUCUGCUCUCUAAUAUAGUUCCGGAGCUGCUAUUUUCGUAGAUUGCGGGUCUGUUGCCUUUUGGUGCUCAAACAAAGAAGAGAGGGAGGUUCGAGAUGGACCAGGGAGACGCAGCAGUGCAGCUUAGAUCUUCUUGUCUGGAUGUCUUAGGAGUAGUUUCAUGGCCAUGAGGCCUUUUGUAUUAGUUGCCUUGAGGGCAACCCUUUUGCAAGACUGUUAAACUUUUAGACUUGUGUUUUCUUAUGGCACGGUUGUAUGUCCAGGUUUUCCUCUAAGUACUCCUAUGGAUGACUGUACUAGUUACUUUUCGUACGUUUCAUGUUGAUCUGGUUGGUUCU